UACGUAGGGGGCAAGCGUUAUCCGGAUUUACUGGGUGUAAAGGGAGCGUAGACGGCUUUGCAAGCCAGAUGUGAAAGCCCGGGGCUCAACCCCGGGACUGCAUUUGGAACUGUAUGGCUGGAGUGUCGGAGAGGCAGGCGGAAUUCCUAGUGUAGCGGUGAAAUGCGUAGAUAUUAGGAGGAACACCAGUGGCGAAGGCGGCCUGCUGGACGAUGACUGACGUUGAGGCUCGAAAGCGUGGGGAGCAAGCAGG
rnacentral:rRNA from 1 species